rnacentral:lncRNA from 10 species
GCCGGUAGCCAUCUUCGUGCAUAGCUUGCAACACCAUGAAAAAAUUACUGAGACACUAGGAAUGCUGUGAACUGAGAAAGUUUGGGACCUUUGGCAUAACUAAAUCCUUCAUUUAACAGCCAGGGGAUUGGACGGUGUCAUGGAAAUGUCAAAGAAAAAGUGACACCUGAGAGAAAAUUUGAAAGAUGAAAGGUGCACAUCAUGGAGACAAUCUGACUGGUACAGAGAAAUGAAGAGACAACAUUUUCUUUCCAAAUCUGAGUGGAGAUGAUAGAAGAGGCCCUGGUUAGCAGCUUCAGAUGAUGGAUACAUAAAAAUGGGAGAGAGAAAACAUAUAAGAGUGACUAAUUGUUGAGUUUCCAGGGCUCAAACCAAUCUUGAAUUGGAAUUUCAAGACAUAAAAACCACUGCAGGAACCUGCUGGAGAAACGGCCUCUGGUAUCUCUAUCUGAAAUAUGAUUAUCUUAAGUUCGCAAAGCAUUGUGUCUGCAGUGUGAGUUUGAAAACAACAAUGUUAAGGCAACUUCGCAGCUUCUUAAUCAAGCCCUUCUCCAUCUCUCCGUGUGGUUUUUGGGGUGGUGGAGGUGGAGCCAAAAAAGAGAGGGCAGUUUCCCAGGGCUGAAGAUGCUACCAUGACUCAUAGGAUCUAUGCAAACCCUGUGAGUGAAUUCUGAGGAAGAAGAAUGAGUAAUAUUUUGAUUUUAUUACUGAUGGUAAUAAGAUAGUAUCAUCAGUGUGGUAUAUUCUGAUUACUGAAUUCUAUUCCCUAUUUUCUUCCUGUGGCCAAAUAAAAUUUGUGUGUGUAAGCUAUGAUAUUUAGUGUUGUUAUCUGAUGAGACAGGUUUAGUGGAAAAGUUCAUUUUAAAUAAACA